UGUGCAGCUGCACCUUAGGGAGAACUGCACGAGUAUAUUUUUAGUUUUUAUGUGAUGACGGCCGUUCCCAGAAGCGUUUCUUCACUGGAGCAGAUGUACGAAUACAGCUACCGAAACAUAUAAAAAUGGUACACAAACCGUCGACGAUGACUGCUGACCGCUUUCGUCGCAAGAUUUGCCGCGAGUGAAACAGUUGUGCAACGCCUACAAGAUUGCAAAACUGCAUCGUCCUGGCCUUGUAUCGCUAAUCAGACACAUACGUGGUUCCCUUGGCGCCUUCCCAACCACACGAGGGAACCAGAGCAGCACGGCCGGCUUAAAAAAAGGGGCGGAUCGACGACCAGGCUUGCAGUUCGCUAGCAGUGCAUCUUGAGCCCACAACUAAGUUAAAUUGUAACUCCCAAACGACUGCAAUGGAAGCCACCAAACAUCUCAGAGAAAAAUCAGCGUUGGAGAAAACCCAAGGGGCGACAGCACAAUAAAAUAUUUCUUUAGAAGUUCCAGAAGGUUGCAGCACCUCCAAUAUGACGCUAGGCAACGCCUUCUUCUGAAGAGGCUUCACGUGUCGCAAAUUUCCUGGUACCAAAUUGUCUUAUGUAGAGAACACUCUGGCCUCGCUUCUCGCAUGGAAUCUAAAGCCUCCAAAGAGCCCAAGUUGCACAUCUCAUAGCAAAACACAAGUGUUCUGCUUUUGUGACCCUCGACAUAUUUAUGUUCAUUCAUGUUUGUUACAUUAGUCUUCUGAAGAGUCCAAUUCGGUUUUCUCAAACGAGCAUACAAAUGUGUUUGUGAGCAUUGACAUCUGUGUUCCAAUUUUAUUUGUGUUGAUCAUGUUGGUCGUCUGAAAACGGCUGGCUCAAACCAACAUACAAGUGUUGCACUUUGCGGUUCUUCACUUUGUUUUUAUGGUAAUUAUUAAUAGAAUUUCUUUAAUAUUUCAUUUUUAAGUAAAUUCAGUUUCAUGCUAAACGACCCAGUUUUGUCAAGAACUGUUCCAUUAUGGCACAUCGUUUCAAGUAUGCUUAAUAUGCAAAAGUAGGUACAAUGAAAAAUUUUUUUACAUUUGCUUUCUUACAUACAACUCGGUCAUUCUACAUCAAAUGAACCAUCGUUUCUUUUUGCCAUCAUAGAUAUGGUUGACAAAAUUUGCCUACGUUUGUUGAAGUUCUGAACUAUUUCUCCCCAUUUAGUUUUACUCAUAGUAAUUUUCCACUAUUUUGGCAAGAUUUAAUUGUUCUUGCCCAGCUAAGCUAGAAGCACUGAUCAGCGUUUCUUUUCGAAGAGAAAUUUUGCGAUCCAGAUAUUCAGAUGGUGUUCAUGUCAAGCAAGUGAAGCGGUGUAACUGCCAAAAUUGCAAAGUUUGAAUUAUUUUCUCAGAACGCAGGGAAACCCACAAGGCACAAAAUAAAUAUAAAAUUGCAGCCUGGUUGACAUAGUAUAGCUACAAAAUAUUUGAAGCCUUGGUGGUUCAGUCGAUCGUCUAAAAAGCUGUAAAGUUCACGUUUUUCGCAAAAGGCUUCAUGUUCAAGGUAAAAGAGAUUUCCUUUGGUCUUCACCGUAAAAGUAUGUGAUACGUCAUUACACAACCUUACGUGUCUGCAACGCAUAUGACAAGUUACAAACAAGUAUUAUUGUUUAAAUUCAAAAAAAAUAUUUUAAAUAGUUCUGUUGCGGAUCCCGCAUACUGCGUAAUUAUAUGAAGCCUUGUCGUCUAGCAAGGAGAGACUGUU